UCUUCCCCUUUCCGAUUUAUGGCAAUUGCAUGCGCUGAUCACCUCACUCCACAAAGGCUACGAGACUUGAAGCAAUCAGAUUUCUACACAGCAAAAAAGAGAAACAUUUUCUAUACGACAUUGUUGCCAAUGGUCGCACUGGGUUAGAUAAAUUUGACAUUGUUGAUGGAUCAAGGAGAAAUAUGAAAGCCUGUACAAGGGCAUUGGCAAAAAAGAUGAUAUAUCUGUCUUUUGUGCUCUAUAUGAAAGCGAUGAUGAUGGAUCCCGGAGUGUGUUCGCAAGAUAAGCGUCAUACAAAAGUGAAGAUCGGCGGGCAUGUUUGUGUUGUAUUUUCCCAAGACUACACAAGAUUUCGCAGUUGUCUACUAAAAGUUUGUGACCUUUUACUUCAAGCAUUAAUAAGUAUUUUAUUUCUUUUCUAAUUUUCAGGAGGAUAUAAGAAGUGGAAAAGGUAGUGCACUUCAACUGAAUGAUCUGCUGCGUGGGCUUAGUCCAUCUGACUAUGUUCUUCAUGCAAUUUCCAAUGUUCAGACAAAUGAUCUGGAGCGGACCCUACUGGUAUGUAACUAAGUAGAUCUUUUUACUGAAUGUCAUGGUUUGAUUUUAUCAAUUAGUAAGCAUAAUGUUAUCUCACUAC